rnacentral:lncRNA from 1 species
UGUCAAAUAAAUUAAUGCUAAGGAAUGUAUCAUAAUUAUGGCAACAUGUAUCACUCUUAACAUAAUAGUUUUGAAGUCCACAUUUAUUUAAGAAAUUGAAACAUACAUAGACAAGAGUCGAUACAUCGACGAUACUAAAAACUUAUCCCACACCCAAUGCAAUAUAAAUGUAAACAUCGAGCGUGAAUAAAUUUUUAUCCCGACGUCAUCAAUUCUUGGGUUUCACACCACCAUCCAUUUCAAACAUCUUUGAAUCUUUAAGGCAAAUGCAUUGAUGUGCAACACAAAUGGCUGGAACUCUACAAAUUUUGAAACAUUCACCAGAUUUGUUGCAGUGUUUCAGACCAGAAAGCAUCUCAAUGGGAGUACUAUUUGCAACUGCAUAUAUAUCAAAAUAUUUAAUUAGAAAAAAAAUAAAUCAUCAUUUCACAUAUAUAUGAUUAAUUGAUUAAUAAUUAGGUUCACGAUAUGCAUAAAUAUUUAAUGAAUUUCUUAACGUGUAUAUAUAUAUAUAUAUAUAUAAAGCAUGAUUUUGGAUAAAAGUUAUUGGUCGACCGUGCUGCCUCAGGGAGGCUGGGGAGCAGCGUAGUGUGGGCCUUUGCGGCCGUUUGGGUGGUCAAACGGUCGAAACGGUGCGAACGAAGCAUUUUUGGGGUCAAAUAGGUGUGCUAUAGCUCACGGUUUGCGAGAUGGGCCCGGGGCCCGGGCUCAUGUUUAGUGAUCUACCCCUAACGCAAACAUCAAAGCUAAUUACAUAGCUUGAGUUUAAUUCGUGAUCUAUAGAUUACAUGGGAACAACUUACCGUUACUUCAAAGCUACCGUCUUCACAUUAUAAUGAAAAAUAAUAAAAUUAAAAUAAAAUUAAUAACAUAUGAUGAUUAAUAAGAAUUGAGAAACAAACCCAUGAUGAUCAGCAACAAAGCAACAAAAGAAGCAGAUUUCAUCACAAUUUUGGCCAUAUUUUUUUUUCACUACUUUACUUUAUAAAAGAAAAUAUUAUAAACUUUGGA